CAGUGCAGUCACCCAUAAAGUAGAAAGCACUACUAACAGCACUGGAGGGUGUAGUGUUUCCUACUUUAUGGAUGAGUGUACUGU
rfam:Pongo abelii chromosome 17, whole genome shotgun sequence.